rnacentral:rRNA from 1 species
UGCGUAGGGUGCAAGCGUUGUCCGGAAUUAUUGGGCGUAAAGAGCUCGUAGGCGGUUUGUCGCGUCUGCCGUGAAAGUCCGGGGCUCAACUCCGGAUCUGCGGUGGGUACGGGCAGACUAGAGUGAUGUAGGGGAGACUGGAAUUCCUGGUGUAGCGGUGAAAUGCGCAGAUAUCAGGAGGAACACCGGUGGCGAAGGCAGGUCUCUGGGCAUUAACUGACGCUGAGGAGCGAAAGCAUGGGGAGCGAACAGG